GCGGAAUUAAUUAAACCACUUAUAUUGUGUAAAUCUUGAUUAUUUCCUUUAAUAUUAGAAUACUUUUCUCGAAUUUAAUUACAAUUUCACUGAAGUUCAGUAUCUGUGCGUUUAGCGUUAGCGAUGUAGCAAUUAUUUAAGUCCAAUAGAACUUUUAUAAGGCAUGAACCGCUAAUAUUUAAGUGGAAUAGUUUUGACUGUCAACUAACGCCAAAUAAUAUUGUUUCAUCAGGAACUCCUCCGCCGUUACACAAGCGUGUUGCUUGUGAUAUUCCUUUAAAAGGAACAGGAGGCUGGAGGUUAAACUGGUGUUAACGCAGCCCAUACACUUUCGUGAUUGAGUUGCCGGUUUUUAACAAUUGUUACGGUCUUUUCUUGAAGGACCCUAAGUCGAAUUGGUUUGGAAAUACUUCAGUCCAAUCCUGGUGCCUCAUAGUAGUCGCCAACACUACUUUAAAAAUGCUCUGUUAUGGAACGACGGAUGUCGAGGAUUUAUAACUCCAUGAAUUAAAUUUGCCUGGACUUCCAGGGAUGUCAUUGUUUGAACGAAUCAGUUCACCUACUGUUUUGUUGCCUGCAUGUGUUGGCAUUUAAAUCCCAAAAAAACGUGAAUAGAAGAAAUAGAAGCGUUAGCAGGAAGCGCAUGGAGAAAGAAAGCCAAAGACGGGUAGGAAGCUGAAGGGUUUCCGAACGAUGGUAGUGAAGGAAGCUAGGAUAUUAGGAUAACAAGAAAAAAAUGCAUAUAACAAAUCUAAGCAGUAUAUUCUACUUUUGUAAUUAUUGUCAAUUAAACCGUCUUUUAUUAUUAUUGUUAA